rnacentral:miRNA from 14 species
CGUGUGCAUGUGUGUGUGCACGUGUGUGUGCAUGUGCAUGAGUGUGUGCAUGUGCGUGCAUGUGUGCAUGCGUGUGUGUGCGUGUGUGUGCAUGUGUGUGCGUGUGCGUGCGUGUG